UUAAAUGAAAAUUUUUAAUUUCGACUUAAAAUUAGUAAAUAGUAAAUUUACCAUUUAAA
rnacentral:tRNA from 1 species